CAGAUUCAAGUUUAGAGGGCGUCCCUCGAUCUUCCUCUCCGGUUCUCUUUGAUGGAUCCGACAGUCCGGCAGCGAGCGGGUCUUUGCUCCUCCGGUUGAUUCCGUGAAUCGAAACUAGUCAAGGGCUUUCAGGUUGUAACACAAGUUGAGGAUGAAUCAAGUGAAUAUAUAUCAUUAGAAUGAUUCAAGCUGCCUCUUGAUGGAAAACUUCUUGAUGGUGAAGUUAAGCUAUUAAAGAAAGUUCGCAGUGGGGU